GCCAGGAGGAGUUUUAAUAGGCAGAUUUUAGAGAUUAUCUGAACGUUCUCAUUUUGACAGAUGAGGAAACUGAGGCCCAGAGACUUGCUUCACCAGAUUAGAGGCUGAGUUGGGAGGGAGGAGAAGUCGGGUCCCAACCCAGGGGACAUUCCUCUAGCUAACGCAAGCUAGAAGGGGGGAUUCAGGCCAAGGAUACCUAACUCCCCAUGGGACUUCAGCUUCCGGGGGGAGUCCUCUUCCCUCUGCCGCCGUCUCCAAUCCGGAGGAAAGUUGCUGCUGGCCCCUCUAGCUGCCUGACCGCAGGUUUAUCUCCAGGAGGGUUGUCCCUAACGGGUGCAGGGUGGGAACAGGUGAGAGAAUCUCCCACAAGCCCCUCCUCCCUACAGGUGCCUCCCUUUCCUUUCCACCCGUGGAGAGCAGUGCUUUAUCAGCAAAUUGCCGGCUUGCGGGUCCGGAAAGAUAGCCGACUCGCCCGGGGCCUCGCAGGGUGUGUGUCGGACAUUCCCAGGUCUGUUUGAGCGCAGUAGGCGGCUAAUAACGAGCGGGGGGACGCCCUCCCCCGCGCCCUUGAUGCCCAGUCGGAGGCUCGUGUUCUCCCCCCAGGAGCCCUCGCGGCCUUUGAUGGAUGGGAGCCCGGAGAUCUGAGGCCCUCCUCUGCCCGGCGAGGGCUCAGCGUCAGGGGCUGAGGGCGGAAGGCGCUGUCCGUGCGGGGACAUGGGAGACAGGGAGAGGGCAGAGGAGCGCAAUGCGCGCCCGGCCAGUGUCAAGCGCCGUGCCGAGGAAGCGGAGGCUCCACCGCGGACGGGAACUGGGGCGCAGAGAGGGGCAAAGAUCGCAGCGCUGCGAGGGGCUUCGCAACAUUAAGAAAGGAAACGAGAUUCAGUCCCGGCUCCGCUAAUUCCAGUUCCUAAACCCUCCUCGCUACGUCACGUGGCGGGCGCAGAGUGGCGGGCCAGCUUCCUGCUUCCGAAACACGGGAAGGAACAAAGCGCCCGCGGGGUAGAAUUCGAACCUAGGACCCCGUAACCGAGAUUCGAAUUCCCCACCUGGCCCCGAGAGACUCGAGCGCACGGUCCUAACGUCACGCAGGCGUUGCUCGCUCCAGCCGAAGGCUUCGGGACUUCACCUCAGCGAUGCUCUCCGCUCCGGACCACCUCCUACCCCGCCGUCUCGGGGCCUAGCACCUCUAAAGAUCCAACUUCCUUCAGUCAAAUAAGACUUUCUACUUUGGUGCUGAGAAUCCUUAAAGAUAGUGAACAGACACCUCUUCCAGAGAACUACAGGGAGGCUGAGUGGUGACAGCGAUCUGAGAGGUCCAGGCUGACAUUCCAGACUGAAAGCAGUGGAAGAGUAGCUCCAACGUGGAUCUCCUGACUCGCUGCCAUCAAUCAGUCUCUAGCCAGCUGCUGCCCUUGUUUUCUUGCCUGUGCUCAGGCAGUAAUAACCAAGCAACUUUCCUGGAUGUGGUGGUCUACCACCGUAAUGGGAAAAUCUGAGUACAGUGGGACAAGCUUUCUCAAGAGUUUGGGCCUAGAGCUGAUGGCAGACAAUGUCAACAACUAACAACAUAGCUCAGGCUCGGAAGCUGGUGGAACAGCUCCGCAUCGAGGCUGGAGUGGAGAGGAUCAAGGUCUCCAAAGCCUCCUCCGAGCUCAUGAGUUACUGUGAACAGCACGCCCGGAAUGACCCCUUGCUGGUGGGAGUGCCUGCCUCAGAGAACCCCUUCAAGGACAAAAAGCCUUGUAUCAUUCUAUAGCUCCAUCCUCCUGUGCAUACAGAGCCUCUCUCCCUGGAAGGGCCAUCCCCAUUCAAUGCCGAUCUCAAGCCAAACCUGUCCUAAGUCACAAAAACUCUCGACGGCCAAAACCAUCCCCAGCACCAUUGCGGUCACCCCCACCACCAUGAGGAGGGGCGAACACUAUGCUUUGUGUUCGGGUGGAAAAUCAAAUCCAGUGUACCCACAAGGCGGGGUCAGCCUACCAAUUUGAAGCAGUCUAAAUGUCCUUGAGAGGAAGGGGGUAGGGGCAGGGUUUUGGUUUUUUUUUUUUUUAAGAUACUCUAGUGCCAUUUAAAUAGUGGUUUCAAAAUAAGAGUGGGUGGAGAGACAGGGGGGAGACCUAGGAUGUCUGCCAGUUAUUAGAGAGCCCUCCCAUCAAGGUCAAAGUGAACCUAGAUUGUAAUUCUUCCUAGAUUGGCCUGCCAUUCAGAGACUUGGGUUAGAUUGGCAGGAGUUCAGAGUUAAAGGAAUUGCUCAUUCUUUUAAAAAAGAAACCUACUCUUUCAUUUAAAAAAGAAAAAACAUAUGGAAAUUAUGCAUUGCUAAAAGGGGACCAGGGGAGGAUAUUUUGACAACAGUAUCAUAUAAACGGAUAAUGAAGGCAUGGAUGGGGGAGGGAGAAAGGGAGGGGGAGAGGGAGGCAGAGGGCAUAGGGAAGGGAAGUCAUCCAUGGAUCAGAGCAUGCAUUUCCCAUCUCACAGAACAUAUGGCAUUUGUAUCUUCACCACCACAUUGUGGGCAGCACUCUCUGUAUAGCUCGCCAGCCAUUAAGGGAAUUAGUUGACAGUGGCUUGAACUGGGGAGUGCCCAUCUCCUUGCAUUGCCAAUUUGGGAAGGGUGGGGGGUGGGGGAGGGGUAUUGGGGGGAAGCAUGAAGUAUAGAUGUGGGUAUUUGAAAUCUUUGAUUCCAUCCUAGCUCUUUAAUUUCUGUGUAUUGUUGCCUGAGAGGAGGGCUCAGGAUGAAUCCUUUGGUCUUGUCUUCUGAGAAUUGGGGGUGGGAGUGGGGUCAGAAUUGCUUUUUGCUUCUGAGGAUAAGGGCAUUUGAAAGUUAUUCAUUUGUUGUUGUUAUUGGGUUUUUUUUUAAUUAACUGUAUAGCUUAAUCCUUUUUUUUAAACUCCUGCCCACUUAAGAGAUGAUUCUUUGUCAAAGACACUAAAAUAAGUGCCCCCCAAGGUUCCUCGGUUUCCUUUCUCCAGGAACAAAAUGUGCCCACCUACCCCUUUAAAUCCCAGAAAGAUGGAGCUUAAGUCAAUUCAGUUCAAUCCUACAGCCAAUUAUUAAAUACUACAUGCCAGCUCUUGUACUAAAUGCCAGGUAGAGUUUAAGGCACACACUAAAAUAAAAAGAAAUUGACCCUGUCCUCCUGAAGUUUAAAAUCCUAUAGAGGAGGCAAAACUCUUGCACAAAUAACAGCAACAUAAAUUGGAAUAAAAGAAGCCAAAGGAGACGUUCCUCUCCGGUGCUGGAGUAUCUCAGAGGAUGUUGAGGGAUAGUAAAUGCUGAAUUUUCUUCUGUGGGAAGUCAGGAAAAGCUUCAGGAGGCAGGAGGUUCUGCCUGAGUCAGGCUUUAAAGAAAAGACAGAGGGAUGAUGAAAUAUUGUUAGAGCUAGAAUGCUGAGCUUCCCUGACCCUCGUGGCCAAUGAAGAGAAAUUCUCUUCCUCCUCACUAAGAAUGACCCAACAGGCUAGAAAUACCCAGUGGGGCAACCCCCUUUUACCUUAUUUGCUGCUAUUACUGGCAGCCUAUAACAAAGCAGAGAAAGUCCCUCCUCUGCUGUAUCAUAGAAUUUGGAGUUGAGACUUUAAAGAUAAACUAGUCCAAUUGUCCCAUUUUCAAUUGAGGUCUCCAGAAUCAAGUGACUUUCUACAAGGUCACACAAUGACAGAGCUGGUAUUGAAACCCCGCUUAAGGUUUAUUGUCCACAGUAGUCCUCUGGGAGUUGCAUGUAAACUGAGGGCCUGGGGAAGAAUAGAGUUCAGGGAAGCCUCUCCCUCCCCAUUCAGCAACCAAAUCUCUUUGCUCAGUAGCAAGGCCAUGGCCUCUUAGCCAGACAAAAGCCAGAUUCUAGAUGACUGAAUUCAUAGUAUCAGAUAGAUACUAAGAGACCUUAGAGAUCUUAUUCCUCCAAGUGAUUCCCCUGUCCACAAAACUUAUUACCAAGGGACCUUGACCUUAUCUUGAAACCUAUAAGUAAAAGCAGUGACUCGUCCUCUUUUCCUCACUCAAGUUCCUUCCUCCUGAGCUUUGAUGUUCUAAAGAUGCAGAAUUUGGAGCCAAGAUAGAUUUUAGGAUUUGCUGCUGGAAGGGACCUCCAGAUCAUCUAAUCCAUGUCACAAAAGUUAAAAAUGCGGCUCAGAGAGAUUAAGGAAGUUAAUCCAGUGUCACACAUGUCUGGGAAGUGGCAAAGCCAAGGUUUCAACCCAAGUCUUCUGACUACAAAUUUUCACUGCCUGUGAAAGAGAUUUUACGAAUUUACAGAAAAGCUUGGGUUAAGGCUAAUCUAGUCCAAUCCCCUCAUUUUAUAGAAGAAAUUUGAGGUGGGGAAGGGACUUGCACAAGGUCAUUAAGUGGCAGAACCAAAACUUUAGAAAUCUGCUCUUUCUACAUUGUUAAGGCAAAGAACCUUCCCACUGGGAUAAUUGGGCCAAAUUCCCAGAUGAAUUUACCUAGAACAGCCCUAGGAAUCACGUAGCAAAGAGUACCCAGCUGUCCAGCAGCAUGAUUUCCAAGGGACAACAUUGAGCUGGGAUUUGGGAGAGAAAAUUACAAUCCUAGGCCCCAUUUACUUACUAGCUAGAACAGCCAUUGUGUUGAGUGGAGGGUACCACAAUUUCCCUACCCUUUAUCUGUGAGAUAAAUAAGUGUGACUAGUGCUAACCGGCUUUGGACUCUUGUCCACCCUCCGCUUGAGUGUUCUGGCAGUCCUCUCAGCCAGAGCACCAAACACACCUUCUCCUUGGCCCCUUCCUGCUUUAAGAAAGGGAAAAUCCAAAGGAUCCCUGCUUCAUUCCACUUCAGCUUCAUCAUAGGAUCUCAAGUUGAAAAGGACCCUAAUGUUCAUUGAAUCUAAACCUUUCAUGUUAUUUAGAUAAGGAAACUGCAGUCCAGUGAAAAAGAUGAUUUGCCCAAGAUUAUUGAGAGUCUGGAUUCAGACCAGUCCUCUGAUGUUAAAUCUAAGGUUUUUAAGAACCUUAAGGUGUCUGGGUCCCAGUGGUCCCAAGGACCAUUUUUAGGGAUAUUUAAAAGACUUAAUGGUGGCAAAUACUGCAUGCUCUUUUAACUGCCAGCUGAGUGUGAGACUAUUUACAAGAUGACUCACCUUCCCCUCCGUUACUAGUUUAGGAACUUCCCAGAUCAUAUCCUUCAGGCCACAAACCCGUCCUUAGGGCCCCCUCAAGGUCUAGCCUUUAAGAGUGCCAGAACACAGGCCAAGGAUAAGGAAAAGAUGACUGAAGAAAAAGGGUAAGUCAAGUCCUCCAGGAUCUACAGCUGGAGAGGGGACAUUUGUCAGAAAUACAGCUUGUGAAGACCCCCAUCUCCCCAUAUAUUCCAAAGAUGGCUCCGUAGAUCUGUCUUUAAUUCCUCCAUCUUAGUAGCACUGUGAAACUUUAGAAAUAAAAAAAUGAGACUUCCCCUCUGUCUGGCCUUGAAAAAAGCAAAAUAAGUGCUGAGUAUGUUUCUCUGGUAGAAACUUUAAAUAUCAUCAAAUCCAAACCCUCUUGUUUUGCUUGAAGGGAAAUUGAGGCCUGAAAAAGGAAUAUAAUUUGUCCAAGAUCUCACAAGCAGUUAGUGGCAAAUCUAAAACUAGGACCUAGAGGGUCAGGCUCUUUCAGCAAAAGUCCUAGAUCACUUGCACCCUCCUCCCUGAAGCACUGGCUCAUCCCAGAUAUUCAGCUCUGCUAUGGACCUGGCUGGGCAUUUACAUACAGGUUUCUGGGCCAUAGGUGAGACCUUCUCUCUAGAUCCUUUUGAUUUCUCAGUAUUGCAGUAGAUCUUGUUUACCUUCCUCCAGAAAAUACAUUUUGUUUUGCCAACUCUCAGGGCACUGCCCCCACUUUUUCUCCUGCCCAGGAGUGGGCAGCUGUGCCAAAUCUGAAAGGGAAUCCCUUCAUAGCAGAGCCCUGGCUAAUAGCUGACCUCUGUCCAAGUGCCAGUGACAUCAUCCUGAUUAUCCAGGAGAUGAAACCUAACCAGUUAAUUUACAAUGAGGGGGUUGGACUAGAUAAUCUAAGGGCCCUUCCAGCUCUUUUAUAAUCUUAGAAUGCAAUUCUGAGGGACCUUGGCAGAAAAAAAAUAUAUAUAUCCAAAAGUUGUCAUGAGCCAGGCUUUAGCCUCAAGAAAUUGUGAUAGCUUAUGGACACCAUUCAGUUCAAAUCUAGCUUCUCUUGGGCUCCCACAUUCCUGACCUGCCCCUAUUUGUGCUCUGCCUAUUUUGCUCCAAUAUUCCUAGAUAUAGAGGAGAAAGCAGGUCAGGCUUUGGAGAAGGACAGAGUCCGACAGCCUCCCUGGGAACUUUUGGCAAGUGAAUGCCAGCCACCCCACUAAAAAUAAAGGACUCAAUUUCCCUAAGAUGAGUUUAUUUCUCCUAGAGAAGAAAUUAGUCUCAUGAUGACACUAGGCAGAGUACAGAGGUAGCCUAGGUAUCCAUGGAGACCCGGUUUCUAUUCUCCAAAUAGCCAAAUACCAAUAUUUAGAUGCCAAUAUUAAAACAACCAAUUAAGCUCCUGUAGUAUACAGAGUGUUGUGUUCUAGACUGGAAGCACAAUUUGGAUGAGAUGUAGUCACUGUCCUUGCAGAGUGAGUAUUUGUCUGCUUUUAUGAGUUCUUCUAGAGGAGUAAUCAGAGCUGGGAAGACUAAGCAGUUUUUGUCUCUGACAAACCUGCUCCACACUCUUAGCUUCACAUCCUACUUUCUCCACUGACUUUUCCUUCCCUGGCUUCUUGGAUGCUGCCCUAUGAGUCUGCAGCUGCCCUUUCCCACCUCUCAUCCAGGUCAGAAAUCCUCCUUAGAGAUUGCUUGCUCAGCCUCUCCAUAACUAGAUGAUGAAAUGGGAUCCCAAAGUCAGUGGGAGAACUAAGACUCCCUCAUGGGUCUCCAGCCUCUCAGCCCAUGAUAGGGGGCACUUCAUAGUAUUUUGUUACCCAUCUUCUCCUCCAGUAACCCUUCCCUCUUUGUUAGCUGCUUCUCCCUCAUCCCCUGUGCCCACUAUCAGGCCUGGGGUGGGGAGAGGCGAGUUGAGGAAAGUCAGGGAGUCAUGGCGCCUGUGCUCAAACCUGGAGGAGACAAGAAGGUGGUCACUCACUUUCUACAAAGAAAAAUCGUCGAUUUUUAUUCUUCUCUUAACAAUGUUCAUACAGUAGAUGAGAUGUUUUUGUUUAGGAUAAACAUAAAUACAAAUAACAGUUACUGCUUGUACUUUUCUGUCUGUGCAUUUGCCAAAAAGAAAAAUACUUUCUUUAGGACUUUUAAGUGCUCUCUACAAGGCAAGGAGGUAGCUUCUCUCCUGCUUCCAGUGGCAGUGGCAGCAGGUGGCCUAGGCCAAGCCCGAACCUUGGGACUAUUUGAGAGCAGCCAGCCAGCUUCUGAAGGUGUUAGCAAGAAUUGGGAAAAAGGAACUGAAAGCAGGGCAUGGAAAUGGGAAAUGGAAUUUCCAUUGCAUCUGCAAAGCCAUUCACUUUUUUCCGUGGCUAGAGAGGAUGGAGGGGCCCUGGAGCACUAGGAUUUCCACCUGCCCUGGCCUAAACAGGCUCUCACCCAGACCCACCUGGGAACCUGCAGAAAGGUUAAUCCCAUGUGAUUGUAGGGUGAUGUAAUCUCUCCUCCUCAAGAUGGCCUGGCCUAGAGUGAGAUUGCCGCCAACUCCCCUCCCCCAACCAGCAACCCCUGAGCCGAAGAAUGCCCCUGGGUCAUGACCUUUGACUCCAGGGAUGGAAGCUUCUGAGGCCUGCUCUGCAGCAGAAGGGGCUGCCUUUUGUCCUUCAGUCCCAAAGUCCUCAGAAAUGGGGCCUCCAGGCAACUCCUCCAUCUCCUUCACAGCCUAAUUCCCCGGGCCCUUGCCUUCUGGAAGGCCAGACUGGCCGAGCUCAGCCCCUGAGGAGUUUCCAAACUAGGUAAACACACCGUGGCUCCCCCUCAAGGAGCACUUGGCCAGGAAGUGGACAGAGCAUUUAACUCCCUGAGAAGAUGUGUGGAACAUUUUCCUUUCUUCUUUCUUUGCCAACUGAUACCAUUGCCAAACACCCAUGGAGUUUAAGGGAGACGGUUUCAGGAAGUGUUCUCGAGGGCUAGCAAGGCGCCCAGCUGCCCUGGGAACACGCCGAGUUAGAGGGGGACUCCAGGUGUGCCAUCAGCUACUCUCGCACAGUGUUGACUGUUUUGUGGAACUGUUGUUACAAAGUGAAUUGAUACCACAAUAAAAACAAAAAAAGGCUUACUUU
rnacentral:lncRNA from 1 species